GAUGAAGAACGUAGCGAAAUGCGAUAAGUGAUGUGAAUUGCAGAAUUCAGUGAAUCAUCGAAUCUUUGAACGCACCUUGCGCCCUUUGGCCAUUCCGAAGGGCAUGCCUGUUUGAGUAUCAUGAACACCUCAACUCUUUAUGGUUUUCCAUGAUGAGCUUGGACUCUGGGGGUUUUGCUGGCUCACAGUCGGCUCCUCUAAAAUAAAUCAGCUUACCAGUGUUUGGUGGGUAUCAUGGGUGUGAUAACUAUCUACGCUUGUGGUUUUUCCACCAGGUAACCUUCAGCAGUGGAGGUUCGCUGGAGCUCAUAGACGUCUCUCCUCAGUGAGGACAGCCCUUUGAACGUUUGAUCUCAAAUCAGGUAGGACUACCCGCUGAACUUAAGCAUAUCAAUAAGCGGAGA
rnacentral:misc_RNA from 1 species